rnacentral:misc_RNA from 1 species
AAGUCGUAACAAGGUAACCGUAGGUGAACCUGCGGUUGGAUCAUUAACGAAAAAAAUUUCAAAAAAGAAAAGGGAGUUUGGAAAGAGAAAGAGGGUAUUUAAACGGAGUUUAAUCCGUUUAAAUUAUGUUUUUUGUUUCCAAAUUUUUUUUUUUUUUUGUAAUCCCCCCCCUGUGAAUGUUUUUUUAAAAUAGUUUUGGUUUAAAUAAAACUUGGAGGUUUUCUCGAAAGUUUUGACGAAAGUUUUGGAGAGAAACCUUUUUUUUUUUUAUUUAAAACCAAAACAAUAACCUAUAUGAAUCUUUUUCUUUUAUUUCGAGUAUAAUUUUUUAAUUAAAAUAACACAAAAAAAGUUUUAAAAACAACUUUUGACAACGGAUCUCUUGGCUCUC